UCAAAAUGUGUUUUUUUGUUUACGAAACUAUAUUAUAAUUAUUUUAUAUAUUAAACACACAAAAUAGAAUAGGGAACAAUAGCAUUAAAAAAAUGAAAUAGCUUUAAAAAUCUGAUUGGUGAGCAUAAAUUGACCAAUCAAAUAGAAAGGUGAGGAUAGCUAAUAUUGAUCAUUGAUUUAAUUUUUUUGAACGGUCCAGAUUCAUUGUGCUUCUUCCCUCUCUCUCUCUCUCUCUCUCUCUCUCGUCUCUUUUCAGAUUCACAAAAAAAAAACAUUGUGUUUCAUCUUCCUUCCUUCUUUCUCUCUAUCUCUCUCUGGUAUCUUCAAUUAUUUGAAACGUGAAAACUCAUCUGUCACCACCAACCCUCAACCAUUUCCUUUUCUCUCCCUGGAGCCAUUAUGCUCAUCACAACCCACCACCACCAGGUCCACCACCGUCGCCGUCAUCCAGGUCUGGAGCUCGCCCCAUAGUCACCGGCAUCAAGUCUCCCUGUCGUCGUCUCGAGCUCACUCCGUCGUCACCGUCUCGAGCUCGCUCCGUCGUCAAAGGUGGGGCCGGAGGAGGAAGGAGGCGGGCAGUUCACGACAGUGCGAAGGGAUCCGGCUGGAGGCGUAAGGGCUCAAGGCGGCUGGAGCCACCACCACAGGAAGGUGGACAAGGAAGAAGAGUAGGAGGGUAGCAGAAGCAGUGGGUCGUUAGUUGGAGUCUAGCGGGAGAGAAGAGAUGAGCUAGAGUUUGUUCAGAGACGAGGGAGGAGAGAUAGAUGAGAAGCACCAGAGGAUUAGCUGAUGGUGGUGGAAGAGAAGAGCUUGACGGUGAAGACGAUGAAGUAGCAGAAGAAGAAGAAGAAGAAUCGUUGACGGCGUAGAUUCUAUUCUGUAGGGUUAAUUUUUUUUUAGGUUAAGUUUUAGGUUUAGAUUUCUAAACCGGUUUAGAUUUCUAAACCGAUAUUAUUUGUAAACCAAGAUUUACUUAAUAAACCAAUUUCAAUAUCAAA